AAAAUAAACGUGAGACUAAACAUGAGAACACGCUAACUUAUUGGAAGAAAAUUGGAGAAACGUUGGUGUCAAUGCUUUUGAGAGCUGGUUGACUGAGACGCACGAACUUUUAAAGUUUUAAUUUUAAUUUUUUUUUUCUUAAGGAAACUCGCACUCCGCGCCCUCCAUUUCUCCUCAAUCUCCUCACUGUUGCCUCCCUUUCUCCCCCUCCUCACAGCAGGACGGGGAACCUGCUGGGUGAUCACCAGUGUGAUUAGCCUCUCCGACUUUAGCCCCUUUGGUAUCCAGACCUCGCCCUGCGUUCCUUACAGCCCUGUGCCCAAGUCCCCACCUCCCCGCCACCCCCCCGGCCCCGGUGUGUUUAAUUAGGGAGGCCAGGGGUGGGGGUGGGGGACAGGCGGAGGCUCGAGCUUUUGAUCCAGUCUUGAGAGCCGAGGCUCCCGCGGCAGAGGAAACCGAUAAGUUGAUUCAUCAUGGUUCCUUUCAGAAAGAUGUUACUAGUUCCCAGACGUGACAGCACCUGUUCACAGAGAAUAUUGCAUUUGUUAUACUUGUGUCAUCUAGAAAUAUAGUUUAAAAAAAAGAAAAGAAAGAAAAAACAAAACAUGAAAACUUUGAUUAGUAUGUAAUUCCUUCGGAGGGGUAUGUACCAUUUACUCUCUUCUGUUUCCCAAAGCUUUACCCGCAUGGUUUAUGAGCUUCUUCAAAGAAGACUUGGGCUUCCUACACAAUCUAUAAGGUACUGAGAAAAAAAAAAAAACGAU
rnacentral:lncRNA from 1 species